UUUUGAAACAAAAUAAUGAUUCAUCGAGAAUAUCAUAUAAACUAACAUAAUUGUCAAGGCAAAUGCAUGAUUAGCACUUAGCCGUGGGAAUAAUUUGUACAGGCAAAAGCAGCAAAUUGAGAUACUACUAAACUAUUACAUUCUUUUGGAGUUCCACUACUAAAAUUCCACUAUUGAACUAUUACAUUCUUUUGUAUAGGCAAAAGCAGAAAAAUGUGCAAGUCCAGAGAUGGACCAAUCUGUAAGUCCCCUUAACUUCCAUCCAACAGCAAAAGCAACUAAAAAAAAGGUGUCCAUGCAACACAACUAACAGCACCAGUAUCAUCCACUGAAUAUCUGCAGAAGACCAUGAGCAAAACAUAGAAAAUCAUUCACGAAUUUUGCACUAUGCAUUAACAAACUUUAAGCUAAGAGAUCAACUUCCAUGGCAUGAAGAAUUUUGCUUUUCUAGAUAUAGUCAGAGAGUUGCUUACCUGAAUCUGAUUGCGAACUUGAUCCAGCUUGAAUUCCUGAUUCAAGGAAAUGCGAAGAAAUAAAAACAUGACAUCUCUUGGUUAGGGACAACAGAAAAAUAUAACAGAUGCAUGAUACAAAAAUAUAACAAUCAUUUGUGCUCCUACCUUCACAUCAAAAGUACUUUGUUACUCUUUGAUCCUUCAAUCUUCUGAUGCAGUUCACAAGUACCAUCUCUUAGAACAAAAUACUUCCAAUUCAACAUGAAUGGUAUUGAUAUAAAAGAAAAACACAAGUUCUAUUAGUUCAUAUACCUCAUGAUCAUUAGUUCUAUUUGACAAUUGUAUCCUGAGUAGCAUCAUCAUUUGAUGUUCCAAUUCUACAUUUAAACAAAUAGCAAAGUCAAAAUCAAAUUUAAACAAAUAGCAAAGUCAAUUUUAAACAAAUAGCACAGUCAAAAUACGUAAACUUGCUUAUUGAUUAUUAAGCACUGGGCAAUUUCUUUUAUCAUGUGUCGCACCAACUUUGCCACAUCCAUUACAACGUCUACCCUUGUGAUUUUUUGUUGUACCCAAAGCCUUUUCUUUGCCACCCUUCAACCUUUUGCCACACCCUUUUGCUCGCACUUGGUUUGGCUCAAUAUAAUUAUGAUCAUAAGUAGAAGACAUGUUAACCGACUUGGAUACAGUCAUCCCACCACUCUCCAUUUCAUUGUUUCUUUCAGAACCAUUCUUUCCAAUAAUUUGAUUGAUCUUUUCAUCCACACUAACAAAACAAUCUUUUAAAACAUUUGUGGCUUCUUCAUUUGUGAGAGCCCUAUCAAUGAAAUCUAAAGAUUGUUGAAUCAAUUGACUCCGCAAGAGUAAGUAUGGCUUGUCAUCUUUUAUCGCCACACCAUUAUCAUCAAUUACACCACUUGAUUUUGUUGUCUUUGUCCACCUCUUCAAAAUAUAUUUAGAAGGCAAUUUGUUAAGAUCAUGAUACUUAUGCAAAUAAGCUAUUACAUGCUGACAUAAAAUUCCCAAACUCUCAAACUUUUUUCAAGUGCAUGUUGCAUAAUCCAAAGAUUUGUCAUAAUGAAUUUCUCUUACUUUACAGUUGUUGACAUUCCUUCUGUAAAACUUAUAGUCAUGGUAGUUGACAUCCUCCUUCAUAUAAUUCAAGCUUUCACACAACUCUUCUUCAAAUUUAUAAUACAUAGUGUGUAUAAAUGUCAACCAUUUGAACCAAGAAGUGAUGACGAUAUUUUAUUCUCGGCCUCUCAACCAAAUCUUUGUUAUCUGAAACCAACUCUACAUGUCGUUGAUGUUUACAAAUGAUAACUUGACACUAGGUUCAUCAUAAGUACUUCAAAUAUUCAAUAUAACAUCAUAAGACAUUUUCACAGCAACAAGUUAUAAGACUAAGAAAAUAUAGAUUUGGCACUUUCAAUUUAUCCACACAAAAAACUUACAUUGAUCCAAUUUCAUAAAUAAGAAUUUGACUAGUUAUUCCAAUAAUAUUCAAUGCAGACAAUAAAGAAUAAAGAAAGCUGUAGAGAAGUUUUUGAACUUUUUGGUGUGUUGUUAAUGUAUUUCAAAUGCUCCAAUAGAUAAUAUUCCAGUACUAUCAUUUCAUUUUUUUUUUGAGAAAGAUUUAAUCUUAUGUUAUUAAUUUUGUUUGGUGAUAUUUUGUGUGAGAAGAUUGAAAAAGUUCAAUUUCGUACCAUUUGUUUUGUUAGCUUCAACUUGUGCAAUUGUGCAAUAAUGAAGCGUUAUGAUUGUUGUGGAGACAUUUAUAUUUUUAUGUUUGAAUUGCAUAGUUUAAAGGAUUGUUUGUUUUGUUGUUUUAAACUUCAUGAUUGAACUGUGCAGUUUUGCAUAGGUACAAGAUAUUAAGUUGAAGGCAUCAUCACCCUGAUUUGUAUAGUGUCAUGAGUUGUACUUCAGAAGCACUUCUUCAAGUUCUUCCUGGGGCAGGAAUUCGCUUUUUCCAUAAGGAUUUAUGCUAUGUCAAGCACAAUUUGUUGCUUUCGGACAAAUACCGAGGAGAAAGAGGAUGCAGGUCUACCCUGUUCAAGAAUUUGAGGAUUCAAAAUUGCAGUAGGAUUUAUGCAAGUUGCAGUGUAGAUAGUAUUAAUCUUAGGAAGAAACGAAAUGAAAGUUUGGAUGGUUUGACUUGCAAAUGCCAAGGGGCACAAAAUGUUGGUGAGGCAACUGCUGAGAAAGGAAAUAUAACAUGGAUAAAUAGCGUGCUGAAUGAUUUGGAUGGUCCAAAAUUUGACGUGGCUCAAUAAUUGAAAAACCUAACAAAAAGUACGAAAUUCAAAAUAUAAAGAAAUGGUUUACCGAUCGAGAAGAAUCGAUUUGGGGUUGGCUUAUUUCUAGGGCUUGGUUCUUCUGCUCCCUUCGUUCAAUAAGACUUCUGCUGAAUCGAUUUGAGAAAUUGAGAGGAAAUUUCUUCGUUCUUCUGCUGCUUCUUCGUUCUUCUGCUAUCUAGGGCUUGGUUUUUUCAAUUUCUAUCGAGGAGAGAGGACUGAGGAGCUUAAAAGAAAACACAGGAGUUAGCUUUUAAAAAAAACAUGGGAGGCUUAUUAAAUAGUUCUGUU
rnacentral:lncRNA from 1 species